ACCUCCCAUGGCUGCCCUUAGCACCAAUGCAACUGUUGGUCUUUCUGAGACUUUCAUUCGAUUGAAACAACAAGGCAAAGUAUUACAUUCUUCUUUUUUUUUUGGUUUUCCAAGAUUAAAAUUUAUGAGAACUAUGGAAAUUAGUGGAAUUGUAGGACAGCUUAUCCCUGAAAAGCUUUUCUUGAAAAAAAAUUCUUGGGAUGUUUGUUUUGUACCUGUCUUGUUAUAUGAGAUUCUGAUUGUCUUUGAA